UACGUAGGGGGCAAGCGUUGUCCGGAUUUAUUGGGCGUAAAGAGCGGUGUAGGCGGCCUGACAGGUCUGCUGUGAAAACUCGAGGCUCAACCUCGAGAUGUCGGCGGAAACCGUCUGGCUAGAGUCCGGAAGAGGAGAGUGGAAUCCUGGUGUAGCGGUGAAAUGCGCAGAUAUCAGGAAGAACACCUAUGGCGAAGGCAGCUCUCUGGGACGGUACUGACGCUGAGACGACGAAAGCGUGGGGAGCAAACAGG
rnacentral:rRNA from 1 species